AGCAGCCGCGGUAAUUCCAGCUCCAAUAGCGUAUAUUAAAGUUGUUGCAGUUAAAAGCUCGUAGUUGAAUUUCGGGGUCUGUCCGUCGGUCGGGCUUCACAGUCCGUACUGGUGUGAUGGGUUCCUACCUUCUGAAUAACCGGCAUGCCAUUCAGUUGGUGCGCCGGGGAAGCAGAGCUAUUACCUUGAAAAAUUGAGUGCUUAAAGCAGGCUAGUGCUUGAAUAGAUUAGCAUGGAAUAAUAAAAUAGGACGGCAUGGUUCUAUUUUGUUGGUUUCUAGGAUCACCGUAAUGAUUAAUAGGGAUAGUUGGGGGCAUUAGUAUUCAAUUGUCAGAGGUGAAGUUCUUGGAUUUAUUGAAGACUAACUUCUGCGAAAGCAUUUGCCAAGGAUGUUUUCAUUAAUCAAGAACGAAAGUUAGGGGAUCGAAGACGAUCAGAUACCGUCGUAGUCUUAACCGUAAACUAUGCCGACUAGG
rnacentral:misc_RNA from 1 species